AUCCUUUGUAGUUCAUAAACAUGAUGACUGGGUGUUCCUGUGCACGUGUGAGAUGUGCCAUCCUCAAAUCUUGUUAUGAUGCUGGUAUAUUACCUACCUGAUG